rnacentral:rRNA from 1 species
UACGUAGGGUGCGAGCGUUGUCCGGAAUUAUUGGGCGUAAAGGGCUCGUAGGCGGUUUGUCGCGUCGGGAGUGAAAACCAUGAGCUUAACUCAUGGCUUGCUUUCGAUACGGGCAGACUGGAGGUAUGCAGGGGAGAACGGAAUUCCUGGUGUAGCGGUGAAAUGCGCAGAUAUCAGGAGGAACACCGGUGGCGAAGGCGGUUCUCUGGGCAUGUCCUGACGCUGAGGAGCGAAAGUGUGGGGAGCGAACAGG